rnacentral:snRNA from 1 species
UCGCCAUAUCUAUCUCGG